UCCGGUUGAUCCUGCCGGAGGUCAUUGCUAUUGGAGUCCGAUUUAGCCAUGCUAGUUGUACGAGUUGAGACUCGUAGCAGAUAGCUCAGUAACACGUGGCCAAACUACCCUAUAGAUCCAGACAACCUCGGGAAACUGAGGCUAAUCCGGAAUAGGGCUCUCAUCUUGGAGUGGAGAGAGCCUGAAACGCUCCGGCGCUAUAGGAUGUGGCUGCGGCCGAUUAGGUAGACGGUGGGGUAACGGCCCACCGUGCCAGUAAUCGGUACGGGUUGUGAGAGCAAGAGCCCGGAGACGGUAUCUGAGACAAGAUACCGGGCCCUACGGNGGGGUAACGGCCCACCGUGCCAGUAAUCGGUACGGGUUGUGAGAGCAAGAGCCCGGAGACGGUAUCUGAGACAAGAUACCGGGCCCUACGGGGCGCAGCAGGCGCGAAACCUUUACACUGCACGCCAGUGCGAUAAGGGGACUCCAAGUGCGAGGGCAUAUAGUCCUCGCUUUUUGCGACCGUAAGGUGGUCGAGGAAUAAGUGCUGGGCAAGACCGGUGCCAGCCGCCGCGGUAAUACCGGCAGCACGAGUGAUGACCGCUGUUAUUGGGCCUAAAGCGUCCGUAGCUGGCCGCACAAGUCUAUCGGGAAAUCUCUCCGCUUAACGGAGAGGCGUCCGGUGGAAACUGUGUGGCUUGGGACCGGAAGACCAGAGGGGUACGUCUGGGGUAGGAGUGAAAUCCCGUAAUCCUGGACGGACCACCGGUGGCGAAAGCGCCUCUGGAAGACGGAUCCGACGGUGAGGGACGAAAGCUCGGGUCACGAACCGGAUUAGAUACCCGGGUAGUCCGAGCUGUAAACGAUGUCUGCUAGGUGUGACACAGGCUACGAGCCUGUGUUGUGCCGUAGGGAAGCCGUGAAGCAGACCGCCUGGGAAGUACGUCCGCAAGGAUGAAACUUAAAGGAAUUGGCGGGGGAGCACUACAACCGGAGGAGCCUGCGGUUUAAUUGGACUCAACGCCGGACAUCUCACCAGCAUCGACAAUGUGCAGUGACGGUCAGUAUGAUGAGCUUACCUGAGCCAUUGAGAGGAGGUGCAUGGCCGCCGUCAGCUCGUACCGUGAGGCGUCCUGUUAAGUCAGGCAACGAGCGAGACCCGCACCCUUAAUUGCCAGCAGCACCCUUGUGGUGGCUGGGUACAUUAAGAGGACUGCCAGUGCCAAACUGGAGGAAGGAACGGGCAACGGUAGGUCAGUAUGCCCCGAAUGUGCUGGGCGACACGCGGGCUACAAUGGCCAAGACAGUGGGAUGCAACGCCGAAAGGCGACGCUAAUCUCCGAAACUUGGUCGUAGUUCGGAUUGAGGGCUGAAACUCGCCCUCAUGAAGCUGGAUUCGGUAGUAAUCGCGCCUCAGAAGGGCGCGGUGAAUACGUCCCUGCUCCUUGCACACACCGCCCGUCAAAGCACCCGAGUGGGGUCCGGAUGAGGCCCGGUUUCCGGGUCGAAUCUGGGCUCCGCAAGGGGGCUUAAGUCGUAACAAGGUAGCCGUAGGGGAAUCUGCGGCUG
rnacentral:rRNA from 1 species